AAUUUCUUCGGAAUGACGAUUUAGUGACUGAGUGGCGGACGGGUGAGUAACGCGUGGGUAACCUGCCUUAUACAGGGGGAUAACAGUUGGAAACGGCUGCUAAUACCGCAUAAGCGCACAGUACCGCAUGGUACAGUGUGAAAAACUCCGGUGGUGUGAGAUGGACCCGCGUCUGAUUAGCUAGUUGGCAGGGUAGCGGCCUACCAAGGCGACGAUCAGUAGCCGACCUGAGAGGGUGACCGGCCACAUUGGGACUGAGAUACGGCCCAGACUCC
rnacentral:rRNA from 1 species